CCAGCUAGAUCAUGAUUCAUGAUGCAUAUAACGACGCAACUAAGCCUUCUAACUUGAAGUAAGGCGAGAUUCUAGUAAACUAGUGGCUCACCGCAUGUUAAGUACGGCAAGAUUCUAGCAACCAUCUCAGUGUUUCUUUGCUGUUUGUUUGAAAGAUGGCUUAGCCUUUCGAAGAACAUAAGCACUAUUUUCUUGGCCUGUUCCCAAUCCCAACGUGCUGAUGCAGUCACUUUCAUUUGCUUCCAGAGUCAAAUUCUAGAGAAUCAAGAGAAUGCCUUGAGCUGGCUCCAUAGCAUCCACAGAAGAUGCCCUCCUCCUAGCUGUUUCAAGAAGUAAGCUUAAUUAAAGCUCCUACCUUGAGUAAAAGCUCGUCUGUUCUCUCUAAUCUAGCUUGAUCAAAGAACUGCAACCAUCUCUUCUUCGUUGGAUUUGAAGUCAUCUCGUAAACUCUGCAAAGUCAGAGCAAUGUAAAUUAAAUUAGCGAACUCAACCAGUUUCUUUGGAUUAUUACACUACAUGUAUCUUCGAAAGCCACUUUUUUUUUAAUAUUAUAAACAUCUUACCCCUGUAGA